rnacentral:misc_RNA from 1 species
CUACACUACAAAAUCCUCUAUUUUCCACUUUCUCUCUGCUGAUUGCGCAUCUGCACAAAACACCACCUCCCACUUGCAUUGCCUUCUUUCCCCAUAAAAAUCCGACCCCAUUAACCCCUCACUUGAUGUAGCAGUAAAUGCCUCUCUGAUCACUGUCUGUUUGUACGGUCCUUUCUUCAACUACCUCCAUUAUGUACACCUCUUUCAUUUAAUAAUAUCACACACACACGGAAUUCAUAUAGAAUAACAACAUUACUGUUGCUGUCUUCUUAGCUUUAAAUCUCAGUUCCUCUUCUGAAGGUUUUAUCUUGUCUCUUGCUUUGCUUAUUUGCAUCCUCUACCAUUGACUUCGAAGUUUUUUCCUCCCUGGGUUGUUUGUUCUUUGUUUUUCUCAAAAGAAUCUUUACUUCAUUCUUCGGAUCAUUAACUUCACUUGUUUCUUCAUUUUCUAUUGCUUCGGCUCCUGGGUUUUUGACAAGUUUGCUCAACUGAUUGGCGGUUUUACGGAAAGUGCUUUUUUUUUACUAGAAUUUCUUGAGUUUCCCUUGUCAUUUAGUUGAGAUUUCAGCUUUAUUGAUUCCUGGGUUUCCUUGAAUUAGGUUCAUUAAGAGAAGUCAGUAACGGUUUGAUGAGUUUUAGGUACGGCCAAAGCAUAUUUGAAGUCCUAAAUUUUACUGAAUUCUCUUCUUGGGCUCGUUUGGAUUCGAGAAAAACUUUAUUUUUUUAGGUUUGGUUAUUAGCAGAGUUAUCUUUUAAUGGUUCUGCUUCUGUAUCACUUGCAUUCAUUAGUCUUCUUGGGGUUUUCUUCACCUCAGUGAAACUUAAAGUCUGGUGCUUGAAAUUAGUCCUCAAUGGCGUGGUCAAACUGGCUGCUCAUACUAUAUCUUUCAUGGGCUUUCCUUAUCCCUCAAACCCAUGAACUACAAACCUAUCAGGCUCAACUUCUACUACAGCUGAGGAAGCAUUUGGAGUACCCUUCGCAAUUGGAUACUUGGGAAAGUUACAAUGGAGACCUCUGCAACCUGUCUUCAACUUUAUAUAUGGGAAUCGUUUGCGAGGACAAUGUUAUUACUGAGCUCAAAAUUAAGGGAGAUAAGGUUGUCAAGGUUCGCGAGUUCAAAGGGUUUGCAAUUCCUAAUCAGACUUUAUCUGAGAGUUUCUCGAUUGAUUCUUUUGUUACUGCACUGACAAGAUUAGGCAGCAUGAGGGUUGUUAGCUUAGUGUCUUUGGGGAUAUGGGGGCCACUUCCUGAUAAGAUUCAUAGGCUAUAUUCACUUGAAUUUUUGGACUUAAGCUCGAAUUUUUUGUUUGGUUCAGUUCCCCCUCAGCUGUCAAGAAUGGUUAAACUUAAUUCUUUAACAUUAGAUGGCAAUUAUUUCAAUGGAUCUCUCCCUGAUUGGCUGGAUUCCUUGUCUAAUCUCACUGUUCUGAGCUUGAGAAAUAACCGGUUUAAGGGUCUGUUUCCCUCUUCAAUAUGCAGAAUCCCAACAUUAAGUGAUAUUGCGUUGUGUCACAAUCAGCUUACUGGUAAAUUGCCUGAUUUGAGUACCUUAACUAGCCUGCAUGUGUUGGAUUUAAGAGAAAACAAACUAGAUUCCGAAUUACCUGCGAUGCCUAAAGGGCUGAUAACAAUUCUCCUAAGCAAUAAUUCCUUCUCAGGAAAAAUUCCUGCUCAGUUUGGUAAUUUGAGCCAGCUUCAACAUCUUGAUUUGUCCUUAAAUCAUCUGAGUGGAACGCCUCCAUCUUCCUUGUUCUCUUUGCCAAACAUUAGGUAUUUGAACUUAGCUUCCAACACGCUCAAUGGAUCCCUUCCUAACCAUCUUAGUUGUGGUGGCAACCUGGGGUUUGUCGAUAUCUCUACAAACAAGUUCAUCGGUGGACUUCCCUCUUGCUUGGGCAGUAUGUCAAAUCAGAGAGAGGUAAAAUUUGGAGGGAAUUGUUUAUCCAUUGUCUCCCAAAAUCAACAUCAAAAGUCGGACUGUGAGGCCGCCAAUAUAGAGUCAAAGCAAUCAAGAGGUAGAAUGGUAGGAAUAUUAGUUGCAGUGGUUACUGGAACAAUUCUUAUUUUGGUGCUUUUGGCAUUAGGGGUUCUGUUUUUGUGCAGAAGAUAUCGUUCCAGAAGAACAUUUGAACAGAAUAUAUUUCCUAAGGUUGUGCAAGAUAAUUCAACCACUGGAGUUUCCUCUGAAGUCCUUGCAAAUGCCAGAUUCAUUUCUCAAGCAGCCAAGCUAGGCACACAAGGUGCCCCUGUGUGCCGUGUGUUUUCCUUGGAAGAGUUGAUGGAAGCCACAAACAACUUUGAUUCAUCAACAUUUAUGGGUGAAGGCUCCAAUGGAAAGAUUUACAAAGGAAGUUUGGAGAAUGGAACCUAUGUUGCUAUACGGUCUCUGGCUUUGUUGAAGAAACAUUCAAUCCAAAAUCUUAAAGUUCGGCUGGAUUUACUUUCAAAGCUUCAUCAUCCACAUUUGGUUUGUCUUUUGGGUUAUUGCAUUGACAGCAGUGAACAAGAUGAUUCUAGUGGCAUCAAAGUCUUCCUUGUCUAUGAAUAUGUGCCUAAUGGAAAUUAUCAUGCCCAUCUUUCAGAAGCUUGCCCAGAGAAAGUCCUUAAGUGGGCAGAUAGACUGAUGAUUCUUAUUGAUGUUGCUAAGGCUGUCCAUUUUCUACAUACUGGGGUGAUACCUGGUGCUUUUAACAAUCGACUGAAGACAAAUAAUAUAUUGCUUGAUGAGCAUCGAAUUGCAAAACUGAGAGACUAUGGCAUGGCUGUAAUCACAGGAGAAAUUGGAAAAACUGAGGGAAAGGGAGAGACCCCAAAAUCACGACAUAGGACAAACUUAGAGGAUGAUGUUUACAACUUUGGGUUUAUACUACUCGAAUCACUUGUUGGUCCUAUAGUAACUGGAAAAGGAGAAGCAUUUCUGUUGAAUGAAAUGGUAUGCUGAAAAGCUUUUACAUCAAUGAAUAUCCAAUUCUAUGAACAUUAUCACAUUACUCUAUGGCCUUUCUAGUUAAACUAUUCCCAUUGUAACUUUUAUUAUCCAGCUGAGUGUUAAGUGCUGGUCUACUUUUCUAUUUCCAGUUCUCCGAAAGUUUCUAUGUCCAAAACAUCCCCUUAAAGAAGUUUCCUGGUCGAUUCAGUUUUCUCUCCCUAAAGUGUACUUUGAGAUUAUUUUAUUUAUCUAUUAUUUCUAUCUCAACUUCAACUUUAUUCUUACUGACAUUUCAAAUCAGAUCAUUUUUUCAUCUCUUCCAUAUUGACUGUGAUUCAUUAAAAUGCUAUAAACUAUCUCCGGGUGCCAUGUAUUGCAGGCAUCGUUUGGCAGCCAGGAUGGUCGAAGACGUAUUGUGGACCCAAUUGUUUUAAGCACAUGCUCACAGGAGUCAUUAUCAAUUGUGGUUUCUAUCACAAGUAAAUGCAUAUCUCCUGAGCCUUCAACUCGUCCUUCUUUUGAGGAUGUUCUGUGGAACUUACAGUAUGCAUCUCAAGUCCAGGCUGCAGCUGAUUCCGAUCAAAAAUCAGAUUCCACAUCAUAGUCAUAAUUUUACAAGCAGAUUAUAAAACUCCAGCAAAAAUCUUGAUUAGGAAAUUAAUCCUGCGUGAGAGGGCAUUAUAAGCACCUGAGGUAGGCAUAAGUUUGGGUAGCUUUAUCAGAUUGAAUUUAACAUUAUAUUAAAAUUUGAUAAAUUUUCAUUUGAAAUACAAACCUAGGAAAAAAGAAAUGUCAAAAAUUUCCAUUAUGUAAUUUGUAAAUCAUCCUUCAGAACUUGUACACAAGCUCAGCCAUACUGUUAUGUCAUAUGGAGUAUACAGGUCAUAAGAAACAACCAGUUUACUUGUGUCUUAAGUGAAAAGCUUUUGAUGUAACCUAGCAGAAGCCUUCAUUGUUUCAUCAUUGGAGGUGAAUUGUUCUUGAACUUGCUUUCAGAUGCAUACAAAGAUCUCAAACCUUGG